GACGAACGCUGGCGGCGUGCUUAACACAUGCAAGUCGAACGGAAAGGCCCUGCUUUUGUGGGGUGCUCGAGUGGCGAACGGGUGAGUAACACGUGAGUAACCUGCCCUUGACUUUGGGAUAACUUCAGGAAACUGGGGCUAAUACCGGAUAGGAGCUCCUGCUGCAUGGUGGGGGUUGGAAAGUUUCGGCGGUUGGGGAUGGACUCGCGGCUUAUCAGCUUGUUGGUGGGGUAGUGGCUUACCAAGGCUUUGACGGGUAGCCGGCCUGGGAGGGUGACCGGCCACAUUGGGACUGAGAUGCGGCCCAGACUCCUACGGUAGGCAGCAGUGGAGAGUAUUGCACAAUGGGAGGAAGCCAGGUGCAGCAACGCCGCGUGCGGGAUGACGGCCUUCGGGUUGUAAACCGCUUUCGCCUGUGACGAGGCGUGAGUGACGGUAAUGGGUAAAGAAGCACCGGCUAACUACGUG
rnacentral:rRNA from 1 species